ensembl:lncRNA
UGAUGUGGGCAGCAGGAGGGGGCAGCCAGCCCUGCCUAACCUCUCCAUUUGCACAGAGCAGGGGGUGAGUGCCUCUCCCUGAUGGCCAUCCCUUUCAAUGCUUUAAAUAGCUCUCCUUGACACAAGGCAAUGAAAAUGGCUCACUGACAAGUUUCUCCCAGCCCCGUGGCUAUGAGGUCUGUUCUCUAAAGAAAAAUAGAUGUGGAGACCAUUUGGCUUGAAACCCCUUAAGCAAGUGGAUAAAAUUAAUCAGCUGUCUUUUAACUCUGAUUCAUUUUUCCUUUAAUUCAAUUUACCAAAAUGUGUGGGCAGAGCCUGAGCCUCUGGGCAUAUUAACAUUAAUAAAACACAAUUAAGCAAAUGUUAUUAUGUUGCCAGCAACAAAAAGAAUGCCCCUGAGUGUACAACUUCCCCUUGCUGUAAUAAAUAUGCAGACAUGAGAACUGUGCCUUGCAACCCGUUGCUUAAACAGCUUUAAAAAACCAAAAUACCCACUUUGGUGAAUACAAAGAAGCCAUCGGGAGUAGACCAAAAGUGAACGCACCGAGGCCUUUUGCUGGAAGAGAAGGCAUGAGAGGAGCAGUGCGCCACAGUCAAAACUCCACCCUCAGCAAAAAGAACAGAGGAACAAAAGCAGCGAGCCAAGCUCAUGGACAUCUCCUGCAUUUGAGGCAAUCGAAGCCAAAGCUGCUGCUUUGCCCUUCACCAUGUUCCUGCUGCCUCCAGCAGAGCCCUGCAGAGCUGGGUCAUUUGGAUCUGCCCCUCCUGGGAAAGUGGUGGGUGCAGCCCCAGCUCUGUCACUGCUGCCUUGCACUGGGAGAGUGCAUUUGUGGAGUGUGGAAGCCAAUACGGAUCGUAAAGAGAUGGAGGAGUAAUCCAAAGGAGGCAGGAAGCAAUCCAGGUGCAGCAAGGAUUGGAACAAGGCAGGUUGAGGUCAGAGAUUUCCCACUGGCUUCCAGCUGCCAGGAGAGCCACACUACCGAGCGGAGUGCCAAGGGAGAGGCUCCAAAGUUUGCUUAUGGAGGUUUGGGGAGGUUGCAGGUGCUGGGAACUCAAAACUUGGCAGAGAACCCUCUUCUUGUUCAUCUCUUCUUUAGCUGACUGGUGAAAAAUGCAGUGUGUUGGAUAUUUGUCAUCUGUUAUUUAAUACGUGGUUUAAGAUCAUCCUUCUCAGAUGAGGUCGGCUGAGAACUGGCUGAGUGGCAGAGCUCAGAGAGUUGUCAUCAGUGACAUGGAGUCUGGCUGAAGACCUGUAGCUAGCAGUGUUCGGGCCAGUGCUGGGUCCAGUCUUGUUCAACAUCUUCAUCAAUAACCUGGUUGAUGGGAUAGAGUCCACCCUCAGCAAGUUUGCUCCUGAUACAAAGCUGGGAGGAGUGGCUCACAUGCCAGAAGGCUGUUCUGCCAUUCAAUGGGACCUGGACAGACUGGACAGCUGGGCAGAGAGGAGCCCAACAAGGUUCAACAAAAUCAAGUGCAGAGUCCUGUACCUGGGAAGAAAUAACCACGUGCAUCAGUACAGGCUAGGGGCUGACCUGCUGGAGAGGAGCUCUGCAGAGGACAUGUGAAUCCUGGUGGACAACAGGGUGACCAUGAGCCAGCAGUGUGCCUUUGUGGCCAAGAAGGCCAAUGGUACCCUGGGGUGCAUCAAGAAGAAUGUGGCCAGCAGGUCGAGGGAGGUGAUCCUCCCCCUCUACUCUGCCCUGGUGAGGUCGCAUCUGGAGCACUGUGUCUCAUGCUGGCCCCCCAGUUCAAAAAAGACAGGAAACUACUGGAGAGAGUCCAACAGAGGGCCACAAAAAUGAUGAGGGGCCUGGAGCAUCUCCCAUAUGAGGAAAGGGUAUGAGCUGGGACUGUUCAGCCUGCUGAAGAGGAGACUGAGAGGGGAUCUGAUUAAUGUUUAUAAAUACGAAAGAGCAGGAGGCAACUGGAUGAGGCCAGGCUGUUUUCAGUGGUGUGUACUGAUAGGACAAGGAGCACUGGCCAAAAACUGGAACACAGGAAGUUCCACACAAAUAUGUGAAAGAACUUCUUUACUGUGAGGGUCACAGAGCACUGGAGCAGGCUGCACACAGAGGCUGUGGAGUCUCCUUCUCUGGAGAUAUUCAAGACCCGUCUGGAUGCUUUCCUGUGUGAUGUGACCUGCUGUAGGGAACUGCUGUAGCAGAGAGGUUGGACUCAAUAAUCUCUAGAGGUCCCUUCCAACCCUGGCAAUUCUGUGACUCUUGAAUAUGUGCUGAACCUCUCUCUGACUGCUGUUUCACCCUUGAGUCCUUGGCCAGGGCUGUGCUGGUGGAAGACUUGAAUGGAAUUGUGGCUUCUCCUGUAUAGUAUAUUCACAGCAGAAAGAAAGUGCUGCAUCUGCAAAGGUGUCCUUACUUCUGAGUUGUAACCACUGCAGGAGAGCAACUGCAUCCUUGGGGAUGUUGAUGUCUGCUGCUGGGGAAAGCACGGGGCAGGGUGAAGCUCGGUGCUUAGCCCCGUUGGCUGUAGAAAUUACUAUGAAGUCAGCAAAAUAUUUAACAAUAUCUUUCAUCUGCGUGGACAUGUCUGCUAACUAAUGAGCUGUGUGCAGGACACUGCUAAAGGGAUUUAAAGAUUAAAAUCAAAAGCAUCGGCCUCUGGGAAAAAAUUGGAUCCAAGAUAAGGUGUUCCUAUUUAGAAGCUUGUCUGGAGAGGGAAGAGAGAAGAUGGAAGACAUAAUCUUCCAGUGAGACUUACUUUUCCUAACUGCCAUUAAUUCAGUUGCUCAUUUUUUUAUGUGGUGUAAAUCUACAGCAGGAUAUGCUUUGUGCUUAUCUGAUAAAACUGAGGUAGAAUCAAGCUUGUUUCUCUGCAGAUAAGAAUAGAGGACUUAGAAUAUUUUUCCAAAUAAAUGAAUAAUGAUGUUUUCUGAAUAGUUAUAAGGUUCAUUUAAUGUUUGGACAUCGCUGCGUUUAUUACAGUGCUGGUAAUGUUUUGUUGUUUUUCUUCUUCCCGUGAUGUGUUACUCCUAUCCUGCUAUUUUUCUACUAUUUUGCCAGCUCUCUCCCGGAGCAGGUUUCUCUGGAGAGUGUUUAUCUUUCAAUUAGCAAACUUUUCUUUGCAG